rnacentral:lncRNA from 1 species
UUUGUUCAAGAGGAAGAAUAUAUCACAAGAAACUCGCCCAAGUGCCUUAAGGCCUUUUGAGUGUUCAUUUACAUAUUUCCAUAUCAAAAUUAUAUAAUAUUUUUGAUUAGGGCUACAUUGUCUUUGUUUGUUGAUCAGUAUUAUGAGCUCCAUAGUAGGUGAGAAUUGGGAGCACGUGGAGAGCCAAGACUGGUCGGAGUUGUCGCCACGAAAUCACAAUAUUCUAAUGUCAUUGCUGGAUGAAACGCAGAUCGACGAGUGUGAUGAUGAAAGACUAACAAAAGUGAUCCAGUCUUUACAAGAUGAACUCGAUGAUUGUGCAUGGGAGAGUAGCCAAUCAUCUAUUGAUGAGUUGUAUCCGUCGAUGGCUGCCGUUGAUGUUGAUCUUCAAUGGAUCGAUGUAGAGAUGAUGCCUAUGAUUCAUGAAGGUGGUGUGUUUGAUCAAGAACAAAUCCUCUCUUCUUUGAGUAUGCAUGAAUAGCUAAUUACAUGUAGAUUCCUAAAUUAUAUGAACAAUAAGUUUCUCAAGAUGUUAUGUUAUGAGAAGUCACCUCAGUUGACUGGCGACUGUCGUUUUAGUUGAGUACUUUAGUUCUAAUUAAACUCAAUAUUUGAUAAAGCUAAUGGUACUUUUACAUCCAAUUCUCAAGAAAGAACCAAGUAAUUUACAAAGAUCGUAACUUUAUCGAGUCUCGGAACUAGUACAUGCAUACACUUCCCAAUAUAUAAUAUUAAAUUGUCACCAUUCACCAGAUUAUUGAUGCAUCAUUUUUCACCAAAAAUGAUUUCGAUUAAUAAACUCAAUAAUUGGGCUGCCACGUACUAGUACAUGAUUAUAUUGUGCUGCCAACUAAAAAAAUAAAUAUGGUCAUUCCAAUUUCGAGAUGGGCCUUUAGAUUAAUCUUUUGUUUAGACUUUAAUUAGUUUGCUUAAUCGAAAAUUAGAUUUAAUUGUCUUAAUUGGGCCUUUAGAUUUAAUCUUUUGUUUAGACUUUAAUUCUAUUCAUAGCCCCAUUCUAUUCUACAUAGCCUCCUUAUUUAAAAAAAUAUUUUUAUUAUUUAAUAAUUUACUAUUUUAUCUUUAAUUUAAAAAACAAUUUACUAACAUAGUCUUGCCCAUAUCUUCGUCUCUCUCCGCCAGCAGCCCCUUAGCAAGGGGCAGGUCUGCAACGCCAAGAAGACUCUCUCCUCCAUGGCUUUCGACGACAUCAACAUCAAAUUUCCCAACCCAAUACAUCACACAAAUCUCAAUUCAACGACAUAAGUUGUGAAUCAAUCAAGAGUGCCGAAGGCAGGGGAGCCGGCGAUGUGAAAAAAUCGACACCAAAAUCCAUGAAUGGUGGCGCUCCAGUUUUCGGUGGGGCACAUCACCUUCUUGAGUACCUUUGUAUUGAUUUUUUGUGAUUUCUUUAUUUUGUAAUUUUUUGGAUAAGAUGGGUUAUUGUUGUAUGAUUGUAUCAAAAUAAAGGGAAGCAGAGAGAGAAAUAAAAGGAAGGGAUGGGAUAAUUUUCAUCUAUGAUUCAUUACUGUUCAACGAAGCUCUAAAUACCCAAAAUUGGGGGACCACUACAAGGCAGAUGGCUUCAUGAGAAUUAAAAGCAUAAUUUGACCAAACAAAUGGGAGGCGGUAAAUAAUCAUUUACAUCUAACUUGAAUGAGUAUCAAUUACUCCAUUAGUAGCAUUCUUCCUCCAUUUUCAGUCAAAAGCUUCUCCUUCUUCCUUGCGAACCCAAGCCUGCCUUCAAUCAUUUUCACUAAUUACCUCCGAGACCGUGACAACCUUGUUGCCGAGGUAAUAUUCAUUCACAAUCUCAUCGAGUUUAACGCAUUAAUUGAUUGUCGGAGAAGCAUGUUGGCGCCGUCGCCUCCGACAGAGACUACUACAUGAGCCGCAUCCGAUCACUGUCGGGGUCAGUGGUGAAGUCAUGAUCGGCGGCAAAGAAGGCAAGCGAUGUCGACGAGCGUCACAAUGCAAUGUAUUAAUAUUCUUAAUCGGAGGCUAUGAGGAUAGGAUAGUAAAUUAUUAAAUAAUUUUAAUAUUUUUUUAAAUAAGAUGGCUAUGAAGAGUAAAUUGGGGGCUAUGAAUAUGAUUACCCUUAUCUUAAUUGUGAAUUAGUUUAGAUAUGGAUUUAUUAAUUACUAAGUGGAUUAGAAUAUACUAAGUCGAAUUUAUUAAUUCGAAUUAUUAAUCCAACUCAGUAGUUGAGCAUUUAAUUUAAUUUUAGGAUAAUAAUACUCGAUAAAUAGAAUACACAUAAAUCACACGCUACUCAUUAAUUGAGAAACUAUCUUUUGUUUCGGACGUUUUAUAUUUUAUUCUUGUAGUAAAGGACAAGCGUGGAAGUGAAUACUAGAAGUGAAAUAUAACUUGUGUACGUGUUAGCAAACACUUGCAAAUUAAGUAGGUUUUCUAUGUAUAAAAUAAAAUAUUUUUCUAGAACUAUUAAAGUUUUUCCUGCUUCAAUAAUGUGAACAAAAAUUUCAAAUGAUUGUCAAUACUUAAAUGUUUUCGCUUUGUUAUUAAUGCCUAUCUAAUGUUAAAUGAAUUCAAAUUUCGAGCAGGCAAGUAAUCCCGCCGAAAUUAAUGUACACCCUGUGGUCGUAUGUAAUCUAGAGGGUUGGCCGACCACUGUGUCCGUUAAGGGAGGCCUCCCUCACAUCAUGAUGCCUACUUAUAUGGUCAUUAAUGAUGCAAAAAUGCAUGCAUGUUAUUUAUAUAUAGAAACGAAAAUGUUUAGUAAGCACGAACUUUUGAAAGAAAACUCCUGUAGCUUGCAAAUGCAUUGGCUUGACAAUAAAAUGAUAAGGUUGUAUAUUAGAUUUGACAAUUCUAUUAAGUACUCUCGUACUUAAUUAGCCCUGUAUAUAUUUAUAAGCGUUAAUUGCCGGUAAAUCCCUGACAACUUUGUUGGAUUUGUAUACUGAAAGCAAGAACGUUUUAUGCUUGUAUACAAUGUUUCCUAAGUUCACUAUCUAAUCUCCUAUCUGAUUGUAUUCAUGAUUGCAUAUGUAUGUUCUUUAUCUCUAUAUAAGUAGAUUAUAUGGUGUGUUGUAGAUCACAGAAGACCAUAUAAUUGGAAUAACCUUAAGACAUAUAAUAUGAUCACAGCCGAAAUAACUCUAGGACAAGUUAUUGGUUUAGGCUGCAGUAUAGAUGGAAGUAGUUUGUCUUGGCUACUUGUCUAUACUGGUACGUCAUUACGUAUUGAUAGGACCACAGUUUGAGAUGUAUUCUUCUAUCUGACUUAAGUGAAGAAUCAAGAUCUCGGUGACUUAUAAAUCUUAAUACUAAUAAGUAUUCAGAUAUAUAUAUUAAUUCGUAUAUCACUUUGACUUACUAUGGGUGAAAGUUAUAUACUAACUCGAGUACUCUGUAUCUUGGGUGAUAGCGGUUAAUAUAUGAUAUUUGAUUAUCUGUAUUAGUACCCGUAUCCGGUAUAGGAUAAUGACAUCCCCUUAAGGAGCUCAAUAAGGUUUAUUACGCUAAACCCUGCAGGUUGAUUAAGUUCAGGCGUAAUAAUAAAGUUUGAGUGGUACUGCUUAAGGAAUNUAUAACUUGUGUACGUGUUAGCAAACACUUGCAAAUUAAGUAGGUUUUUUCUAUGUAUAAAAUAAAAUAUUUUUGUAGAACUAUUAAAGUUUUUCCUGCUUCAAUAAUGUGAACAGAAAUUUCAAAUGAUUGUCAAUACUUAAAUGUUUUCGCUUUGUUAUUAAUGCCUAUCUAAUGUUAAAUGAAAUUCAAAUUUCGAGCAGGCAAGUAAUCCCGCCGAAAUUAAUGUACACCCGGUGGUCGUAUGUAAUCUAGAGGGUUGGCCGACCACUGUGUCCGUUAAGGGAGGCCUCCCUCACAUCAUGAUGCCUACUUAUAUGGUCAUUAAUGAUGCAAAAAUGCAUGCAUGUUAUUUAUAUAUACAAACGAAAAUGUUUAGUAAGCACGAACUUUUGAAAGAAAACUCCUGUAGCUUGCAAAUGCUUUGGCUUGACAAUAAAAUGAUAAGGUUGUAUAUUAGAUUUUGGCAAUUCUAUUAAGUACUCUCGUACUUAGCCCUGUAUAUAUUUAUAAAUGUGCAGGUUGAACUGUGUGAUGAAUGAUGGAGUGUUGCUGAGUGGAGCUUUUGUCAAACUUAGAAAAGGCUAAGAGAUGAUAUAUGUCUUCACACAUAUAACCCAAUAAUAUUAUAUCUUUUGCUGUAAACACUUAUUAUGUUUUAGUUAAAUUUAUAACUAUAUCAAAUACCCUUCAUGCAUUACUUAACGCUUAAGUUUGGUACGUCAUGUAUCCUUUUGAUUCCUAUGCAUCGACC